rnacentral:rRNA from 1 species
AGAUUUUAAUUGAAUGCUAAGAGAAUGGAAACCCAGAAAAAAACUUUUUUUAAAUUAAAAAUUGAAAUUUUUUUAAUUUGUGCAGAAACAAUUAUUAAUAUUAAGGACAAGAAGACCCUAUGAAUUUAUAAAAUUCUAUUCAAUAUGUUAUUGCUGUUGUAGAAUUUUUGGCUGGGGCGGCUAAAAAAUAUUUUAAACUUUUUAAAAGUAAAAUGAUCCAUUAUUAAUGAUUACAUGUGAAAUACUCUAGGGAUAACAGCGUAA